rnacentral:rRNA from 1 species
AUGCUAUCCCUGGGCGCCCUCCGCAAGCUCUGCGCCGCCUUCGACGCCGUCGCGCUCACCAUCAUCGCCGCCGGCCUCUCCCACCCCCGCUGCCGCCCCUUCUCCGCGCGCGCGGCCCCUCCGCCGGACUUCCCCACCAUUGCCUCCUGCCGAGCCGCGGUCGCGGCCUCCAAGCGCCGCCGCCAGCCCUCUUCGGCCCCCGCCGAGGCGCAGCCGGAACGGCCCGCGGACGCCGAGGCGCCGGUGCUGGUCAGGAUCAAGAGAGAGCGGGACCCGGUUCGGCUGUACGAGCUGUUCAAGGCCAAUGCGGACAACCGCGUCCUGGUCGAGAACCGGUUCGCGUUCGAGGACGCGGUGGCGCGACUGGCAGGUGCUCGACGGAAUGACCUCGUGGAGGAGAUCCUCGAGCAGCACAAGGCGCUGCCCCAGGGAAGGCGGGAGGGGUUCGUGAUCAGGGUCAUUGGCCUGUAUGGGAGGGCCCGGAUGCCGGAGCAUGCUCUCCGGACGUUCCGGGAGAUGGAGAUGUACGGGUGCGAGCGCACGGUCAAGUCGCUCAAUGCCACGAUGAAGGUGCUGAUGCAAGCACGGCUCUUUGAUGAGGCCCUGCGGCUGUUGGACGAGGCAUCGCCUACAUACGGGGUUGAGCUGGAUGACAUAUCGUAUAACACAGUGGUGAAGAUGGCGUGCGACAUGGGGGAGCUCCAUGCAGCGUACCGGGUAAUGCAGGAGAUGGAGAAGGAAGGAGUGCGGCCAGAUGUCAUCACAUACACGACACUGAUGGCUGCGUUCUAUAAGAAUGGCCACCGUGAGGUUGGGGAUGGCCUGUGGAACCUCAUGAGGUUGAGGGGUUGCAUGCCCACACUAACCAGUUACAAUGUAAGGAUUCAGUUCCUGAUCAACAGGAAAAGGGGCUGGCAGGCAAAUGAUCUGGUGCGGAAAAUGUAUGCAGCGGGGAUAACACCGGAUGAGAUCACAUAUAACUUGGUUAUUAAGGGAUUUUUUGUGAUAGGUGAGCAUGAGAUGGCGAAGACGGUCUUUGGUGCGAUGCAUGGGAGGGGAUGCAAGCCAAAUGAAAGGAUUUACCAGACAAUGGUGCAUUACCUAUGUAAGCGAAGGGAGUUUAAUUUGGCAUUCAGAUUGUGCAAAGACAGCAUGGAGAAGAACUGGUUUCCGAGUGUCGAUACCAUUCACCAUCUGCUGAAAGGCCUUAUGGUAAUUAAAAAGGACAGGAACGCCCGAGAGAUAAUGAAGUUGGUUGCUGAGAGAAAACCUUCCUAUUCAGUUGAUGACGUGAAGGCCUUCCAAGACAUAUUGUCUCAUGGGAAGACUGGAAGAUAA